rnacentral:rRNA from 1 species
AUACGUAGGUGGCAAGCGUUAUCCGGAUUUACUGGGUGUAAAGGGAGCGUAGGCGGGACUACAAGUUGGAUGUGAAAUACCGGGGCUCAACCCCGGGGCUGCAUCCAAAACUGUGGUUCUUGAGUGAAGUAGAGGCAAGUGGAAUUCCGAGUGUAGCGGUGAAAUGCGUAGAUAUUCGGAGGAACACCAGUGGCGAAGGCGACUUGCUGGGCUUUAACUGACGCUGAGGCUCGAAAGUGUGGGGAGCAAACAGGAUUAGAUACCCUGGUAGUCCACACUGUAAACGAUGAUAGCUAGGUGUGGGGGGUCUGACCCCUUCCGUGCCGGAGUUAACGCAAUAAGCUAUCCACCUGGGGAGUACGGCCGCAAGGUUGA